GCUCAAUGAAAUUUCAAUAGCCGCAACAUAAUGUGCUAAGGUAGCAUAAUCAUUUGUCUUUUAAUUAAAGACUAGAACAAAAGAUUUAACAUUUUAAUUUAUUUCUUAAAUGUAAAGAUUAAACUUAUUUUAAAUAUAAAAAAAUAUUUAUAAAAUAAAAAGACGACAAGACCCUAUUGAACUUCACUAAAGUUAAACUGGGGCAGUUAAUAAAAUAGAAUUUUAAUUUUAAAUCUCAAAACACCCAAUAUAAUCGAUACAAUCAAGUUACCAUAGGGAUAACAGCGUAAUAAUUUUCUAAAGCUCUUAUUAAAAAAAUUGUUUGCGACCUCGAUGUUGAAUUAAUAUUCUAUUAAAUGCAAUAAUUUAAUUAAGAAAGUCUGUUCGACUUUUAAUGAAUUACGUGAUCUGAGUAA
rnacentral:rRNA from 1 species